rnacentral:rRNA from 1 species
UUAAAUUGAAGAGUUUGAUCAUGGCUCAGAUUGAACGCUGGCGGCAGGCCUAACACAUGCAAGUCGAACGGUAACAGGAAGCAGAUUGCU